rnacentral:rRNA from 1 species
GACGAACGCUGGCGGCGUGCUUAACACAUGCAAGUCGAGCGGAAAGGCCCUUCGGGGUACUCGAGCGGCGAACGGGUGAGUAACACGUGAGCAACCUGCCCUGGACUUUGGGAUAACCCUCGGAAACGGGGGCUAAUACCGAAUAUUACUGCUGGCCGCAUGGUUGGUGGUGGAAAGUUUUUCGGUCUGGGAUGGGCUCGCGGCCUAUCAGCUUGUUGGUGGGGUAAUGGCCUACCAAGGCGACGACGGGUAGCCGGCCUGAGAGGGCGACCGGCCACACUGGGACUGAGACACGGCCCAGACUCCUACGGGAGGCAGCAGUGGGGAAUAUUGCACAAUGGGCGGAAGCCUGAUGCAGCGACGCCGCGUGAGGGAUGACGGCCUU